rnacentral:rRNA from 1 species
AUUGAACGCUGGCGGCAGGCUUAACACAUGCAAGUCGAGCGAGCGGCGGACGGGUGAGUAAUGUCUGGGAAACUGCCUGAUGGAGGGGGAUAACUACUGGCAACGGUAGCUAAUACCGCAUACUAUCGGAUGAACCCAUAUUGGAUUAGCUCGUAGGUGGGUUAACGGCUCACCUAGGCGACGAUGCCUAGCUGGUCUGAGAGGAUGACCAGCCACACUGGAACUGAGACACGGUCCAGACUCCUACGGGAGGCAGCAGUGGGGAAUAUUGCACAAUGGGCGCAAGCCUGAUGCAGCCAUGCCGCGUGUAUGAAGAAGGCCUUCGGGUUGUAAAGUACUUUCAGCGAGGAGGCGUUACUCGCAGAAGAAGCACCGGCUAACUCCGUGCCAGCAGCCGCGGUAAUAC